rnacentral:lncRNA from 1 species
UUUUUAAUCAUUAAAAAAAAAUAGAAAUAGAGAUAGAGAGAGAGGAGGUGACGGUGUUGUUUUUUUUUUUUUUUUUUUGAAAGAUAGGUAGUACGUUGUCUGUUUCGUUUAUUUCAUUUAAAAAUAAAUUUAGCUGAAAAUAUGAAUUAAUUGGGAUUCGAACUUGGAUCUCGAAUACCAACCAUCAAAUUCUUUAUCACUUGCUCUAGGAACGAUCGGUGGUGGUGGUGUUGUUGUU